rnacentral:rRNA from 1 species
UUAAGCGACUAAGCGUACACGGUGGAUGCCCUGGCAGUCAGAGGCGAUGAAGGACGUGCUAAUCUGCGAUAAGCGUCGGUGAGGUGAUAUGAACCGUUAUAACCGGCGAUUUCCGAAUGGGGAAACCCAGUGUGUUUCGACACACUAUCAUUAACUGAAUCCAUAGGUUAAUGAGGCGAACCGGGGGAACUGAAACAUCUAAGUACCCCGAGGAAAAGAAAUCAACCGAGAUUCCCCCAGUAGCGGCGAGCGAACGGGGAGGAGCCCAGAGCCUGAAUCAGUGUGUGUGUUAGUGGAAGCGUCUGGAAAGGCGCGCGAUACAGGGUGACAGCCCCGUACACAAAAAUGCACAUACUGUGAGCUCGAUGAGUAGGGCGGGACACGUGAUAUCCUGUCUGAAUAUGGGGGGACCAUCCUCCAAGGCUAAAUACUCCUGACUGACCGAUAGUGAACCAGUACCGUGAGGGAAAGGCGAAAAGAACCCCGGCGAGGGGAGUGAAAAAGAACCUGAAACCGUGUACGUACAAGCAGUGGGAGCCUCUUAAUGGGGUGACUGCGUACCUUUUGUAUAAUGGGUCAGCGACUUAUAUUCUGUAGCAAGGUUAACCGAAUAGGGGAGCCGAAGGGAAACCGAGUCUUAACUGGGCGUUAAGUUGCAGGGUAUAGACCCGAAACCCGGUGAUCUAGCCAUGGGCAGGUUGAAGGUUGGGUAACACUAACUGGAGGACCGAACCGACUAAUGUUGAAAAAUUAGCGGAUGACUUGUGGCUGGGGGUGAAAGGCCAAUCAAACCGGGAGAUAGCUGGUUCUCCCCGAAAGCUAUUUAGGUAGCGCCUCGUGAAUUCAUCUCCGGGGGUAGAGCACUGUUUCGGCAAGGGGGUCAUCCCGACUUACCAACCCGAUGCAAACUGCGAAUACCGGAGAAUGUUAUCACGGGAGACACACGGCGGGUGCUAACGUCCGUCGUGAAGAGGGAAACAACCCAGACCGCCAGCUAAGGUCCCAAAGUCAUGGUUAAGUGGGAAACGAUGUGGGAAGGCCCAGACAGCCAGGAUGUUGGCUUAGAAGCAGCCAUCAUUUAAAGAAAGCGUAAUAGCUCACUGGUCGAGUCGGCCUGCGCGGAAGAUGUAACGGGGCUAAACCAUGCACCGAAGCUGCGGCAGCGACGCUUAUGCGUUGUUGGGUAGGGGAGCGUUCUGUAAGCCUGUGAAGGUGUGCUGUGAGACAUGCUGGAGGUAUCAGAAGUGCGAAUGCUGACAUAAGUAACGAUAAAGCGGGUGAAAAGCCCGCUCGCCGGAAGACCAAGGGUUCCUGUCCAACGUUAAUCGGGGCAGGGUGAGUCGACCCCUAAGGCGAGGCCGAAAGGCGUAGUCGAUGGGAAACAGGUUAAUAUUCCUGUACUUGGUGUUACUGCGAAGGGGGGACGGAGAAGGCUAUGUUGGCCGGGCGACGGUUGUCCCGGUUUAAGCGUGUAGGCUGGUUUUCCAGGCAAAUCCGGAAAACCAAGGCUGAGGCGUGAUGACGAGGCACUACGGUGCUGAAGCGACAAAUGCCCUGCUUCCAGGAAAAGCCUCUAAGCAUCAGGUAACAUCAAAUCGUACCCCAAACCGACACAGGUGGUCAGGUAGAGAAUACCAAGGCGCUUGAGAGAACUCGGGUGAAGGAACUAGGCAAAAUGGUGCCGUAACUUCGGGAGAAGGCACGCUGAUAUGUAGGUGAAGCGACUUGCUCGUGGAGCUGAAAUCAGUCGAAGAUACCAGCUGGCUGCAACUGUUUAUUAAAAACACAGCACUGUGCAAACACGAAAGUGGACGUAUACGGUGUGACGCCUGCCCGGUGCCGGAAGGUUAAUUGAUGGGGUUAGCGGCAACGCGAAGCUCUUGAUCGAAGCCCCGGUAAACGGCGGCCGUAACUAUAACGGUCCUAAGGUAGCGAAAUUCCUUGUCGUGUAAGUUCCGACCUGCACGAAUGGCGUAAUGAUGGCCAGGCUGUCUCCACCCGAGACUCAGUGAAAUUGAACUCGCUGUGAAGAUGCAGUGUACCCGCGGCAAGACGGAAAGACCCCGUGAACCUUUACUAUAGCUUGACACUGAACAUUGAGCCUUGAUGUGUAGGAUAGGUGGGAGGCUUUGAAGUGUGGACGCCAGUCUGCAUGGAGCCGACCUUGAAAUACCACCCUUUAAUGUUUGAUGUUCUAACGUUGGCCCCUAAUCGGGGUUGCGGACAGUGUCUGGUGGGUAGUUUGACUGGGGCGGUCUCCUCCUAAAGAGUAACGGAGGAGCACGAAGGUUGGCUAAUCCUGGUCGGACAUCAGGAGGUUAGUGCAAUGGCAUAAGCCAGCUUGACUGCGAGCGUGACGGCGCGAGCAGGUGCGAAAGCAGGUCAUAGUGAUCCGGUGGUUCUGAAUGGAAGGGCCAUCGCUCAACGGAUAAAAGGUACUCCGGGGAUAACAGGCUGAUACCGCCCAAGAGUUCAUAUCGACGGCGGUGUUUGGCACCUCGAUGUCGGCUCAUCACAUCCUGGGGCUGAAGUAGGUCCCAAGGGUAUGGCUGUUCGCCAUUUAAAGUGGUACGCGAGCUGGGUUUAGAACGUCGUGAGACAGUUCGGUCCCUAUCUGCCGUGGGCGCUGGAGAACUGAGGGGGGCUGCUCCUAGUACGAGAGGACCGGAGUGGACGCAUCACUGGUGUUCGGGUUGUCAUGCCAAUGGCACUGCCCGGUAGCUAAAUGCGGAAGAGAUAAGUGCUGAAAGCAUCUAAGCACGAAACUUGCCCCGAGAUGAGUUCUCCCUGAGACUUAGAGUCUCCUGAAGGAACGUUGAAGACGACGACGUUGAUAGGCCGGGUGUGUAAGCGCAGCGAUGCGUUGAGCUAACCGGUACUAAUGAACCGUGAGGCUUAACCUU